rnacentral:lncRNA from 1 species
CCAAGUUAUACGAAUUCAAGUACCCUUCUAGGGCAAAGUCAGAGGUGGAAGAACUGCCUACCUAAAGAAUUACUUGGUGCUAAAGGACAGUAUGAACCACAGAAGGAGAUAAGUAAAACAGGGGCAGGAUGACAUUAUUUAAACUCCAGAUUCUCAGUGGAAUACUAACAUAGUCUGUUAUGUUACAGUAUUGUCUUUUUUAUUUUUUAUUUUUGAGACAGGGUCUAGCUCUAUCACCCAGGCUGGAGUGCAGUGAGAAGAUCUUGGCUUACUGCAAUCUUUGCCUCCUGGUCUCAAGGAAUCCUCCCACUUCAGCCUCCUGAGUAGCUGGGACUACAGCUCCCUCACAUCUUUGGGCAAAAGCGACAUCAGACAACGAGUCAGAGCCAUCCAUCUCUGGCAACUCCACAUUUCCUGCAAAGUUUGCAACUGCUUCUCCAUCUGCUACUUCUGAUGAUCUCCCGCCCUUGUUUCCAUCACUCAUCAGUGUCUACCCUUCUGUAAACUGUCAUUCUUUAAGCAACCUUCAACUUUUUUAAAAAGGAUUAGUGCCCUUACUGAAGAGGUUGAACGGAGCAGCCUUGCCCCCUUCUGCCAUGUGAGGAUGCAGCAAGAAAGUGUCAUCUAUAAGGAACAGGCCCUCAUCAGACACAGAGUCUACUGUUGCUUUGAUCUUGGAUUUCUCAGCCUCCAGAACUGUAAAAAAUAAAUUUUUGUUGUUUAUAAA